rnacentral:rRNA from 1 species
AUUGAACGCUGGCGGCAGGCUUAACACAUGCAAGUCGAGCGGGGUGAUGGUGCUUGCACUAUCACUUAGCGGCGGACGGGUGAGUAAUGCUUAGGAAUCUGCCUAUUAGUGGGGGACAACAUCUCGAAAGGGAUGCUAAUACCGCAUACGUCCUACGAGAGAAAGCAGGGGAUCACUUGUGACCUUGCGCUAAUAGAUGAGCCUAAGUCGGCUUAGCGAGUUGGUUGGGUAAAGGCCUACCAAGGCGACGAUCUGUAGCGGGUCUGAGAGGAUGAUCCGCCACACUGGUACUGAAACACUGCCCAGACUCCUACGGGAGGCAGCAGUGGGGAAUAUUGGACAAUGGGGGUAACCCUGAUCCAGCCAUGCCUCGUGUGUGAAGAAGGCCUUAUGGUUGUAAAGCACUUUAAGCGAGGAGGAGGCUCUUUUGGUUAAUACCCAAGAUGAGUGGACGUUACUCGCAGAAUAAGCACCGGCUAACUCUGUGCCAGCCGCCGCAGUAA